rnacentral:miRNA from 1 species
ACGUAGACUGUGUAGAAGCC